CCUACGGGAGGCAGCAGUGAGGAAUAUUGGUCAAUGGCCGGAAGGCUGAACCAGCCAAGCCGCGUGAAGGACGACGGUGCCAUGCAUUGUAAACUUCUUUUGUCAAGGGACAAAAUCAGGCUCGAGAGCCUGACCGAGGGUACUUGAAGAAAAAGCAUCGGCUAACUCCGUGCCAGCAGCCGCGGUAAUACGGAGGAUGCGAGCGUUAUCCGGAUUUAUUGGGUUUAAAGGGUGCGUAGGCGGACUGUUAAGUCAGCGGUAAAAGUCCGGUGCUCAACGCCGGCGAGCCGUUGAAACUGGCGGUCUUGAGUGGGCGAGAGGUAGGCGGAAUGCGUGGUGUAGCGGUGAAAUGCUUAGAUAUCACGCAGAACUCCGAUUGCGAAGGCAGCAUACCGGCGGCGAUCUGACGCUGAGGCACGAAAGCGUGGGUAUCGAACAGGAUUAGAUACCCGGGUAGUC
rnacentral:rRNA from 1 species